rnacentral:rRNA from 1 species
AGUGAACGCUGGCGGUAGGCCUAACACAUGCAAGUCGAACGGCAGCACAGUAAGAGCUUGCUCUUACGGGUGGCGAGUGGCGGACGGGUGAGGAAUACAUCGGAAUCUACUUUUUCGUGGGGGAUAACGUAGGGAAACUUACGCUAAUACCGCAUACGACCUACAGGUGAAAGCAGGGGAUCUUCGGACCUUGCGCGAUUGAAUGAGCCGAUGUCGGAUUAGCUAGUUGGCGGGGUAAAGGCCCACCAAGGCGACGAUCCGUAGCUGGUCUGAGAGGAUGAUCAGCCACACAGGAACUGAGACACGGUCCAGACUCCUACGGGAGGCAGCAGUGGGGAAUAUUGGACAAUGGGCGCAAGCCUGAUCCAGCCAUACCGCGUGGGUGAAGAAGGCCUUCGGGUUGUAAAGCCCUUUUGUUGGGAAAGAAAAGCAGCAGGUUAAUACCCCGCUGUUCUGACGGUACCCAAAGAAUAAGCACCGGCUAACUUCGUG